rnacentral:rRNA from 1 species
UACGGAGGGUGCAAGCGUUAAUCGGAAUUACUGGGCGUAAAGCGCACGCAGGCGGUCUGUCAAGUCGGAUGUGAAAUCCCCGGGCUCAACCUGGGAACUGCAUUCGAAACUGGCAGGCUAGAGUCUUGUAGAGGGGGGUAGAAUUCCAGGUGUAGCGGUGAAAUGCGUAGAGAUCUGGAGGAAUACCGGUGGCGAAGGCGGCCCCCUGGACUAAGACUGACGCUCAGGUGCGAAAGCGUGGGGAGCAAACAGGAUUAGAUACCCUGGUAGUCCACGCCGUAAACGAUGACGAUUUGGAGGUGGUGCCCUUGAGGCGUGGCUUCCGGAGCUAACGCGUUAAAUCGACCGCCUGGGGAGUACGGCCGCAAGGUUAAA